UCGCGUCGCUUGCUCUUGCGACGCGCUCUGGACCUUCGCGUGUUGUGCCCGGUGGCCCCGUGGUCUUAAGCACAAGCCGCGCCGUUGUCCGUGUUCGUCUCGGGACGUCCGCGACGCCGCCUUGCUCUCGGCGGCGGCCAAAUUUCCUCUCCGUCACCGCUAUGCGGGACCCGGCUCGCUCUCGCUAACGGGCCCGCUUAUAACGAGCUUCAGGGUGACGGCGGAGGAGAGAAGCUUACGCUGACGCUCGCUCGACGAGUCGGCGCCCGUACGAAAAAAUAAAUAAAAAAAUAACUGUGCGUUAUUUUUUUUAUUUUUUUUAAUCUCCGACCUCAGAUCGGACGAGAUUAC
rnacentral:misc_RNA from 1 species